AUUGAACGCUGGCGGCAGGCCUAACACAUGCAAGUCGAGCGGAGCGGCGGACGGGUGAGUAAUGCCUAGGAAGCUGCCUGGUAGUGGGGGAGAACGUCCGGAAACGGGCGCUAAUACCGCACACUAUCAGAUGAGCCUAGGUCGGAUUAGCUAGUGGGUGGGGUAAAGGCCUACCAAGGCGACGACCCGUACCUGGUCUGAGAGGAUGAUCAGUCACACUGGAACUGAGACACGGUCCAGACUCCUACGGGAGGAAGCAGUGGGGAAUAUUGGACAAUGGGGGAAAGCCUGAUCCAGCCAUUCCGCGGGUGGGAAGAAGGUCUUCGGAUGGUAAAGCACUUUAAGUUGGGAGGCGUUACCAACAGAAUAAGCACCGGCUAACUUCGUGCCAGCAGCCGCGGUAAUUC
rnacentral:rRNA from 1 species